rnacentral:lncRNA from 1 species
CUCUUAUACAUUGUUGUUGGGAUUGUAAAGUGAUAUCGCUACUCUGGAAGAUAAUCUGGCAGUUUCUUUUAAAACUAAACAUAUACUUAAACCAUAUGACUAAUCAGUUGUAUGCCUGACCAUUUAUCCCAGAGAGAUGAAGACUUACUUCCACACAAAAACCUGAGCAUGAUUGUUCAUAGCAUCUUUAUUUGUAGUAGCAAAAAACUUGAAACAACCACAGUGUCCUACAGUAAGUGAAUGAUUAAACAGUGGCACAAUCAUACCAUGUAAUACUACUCAGCAAUAAAAAGAAAAAACUAUUGAUACACACCAACUUGGAUGGAUUUCAGAGGGCAUUAUGCUGAAUAGGAAAUAAAGCCAGUAUCAAGGACUACAGGCGCCCGCCACUACGCCCGGCUAAUUUUUUUGUAUUUUUAGUAGAGACGGGGUUUCACCGUUUUAGCCGGGAUGGUCUCGAUCUCCUGACCUCGUGAUCCGCCCGCCUCGGCCUCCCAAAGUGCUGGGAUUACAGGCGUGAGCCACCGCGCCCGGCCUUUUUUUUUAAUAGAGACAGGGUUUCACCACGUUGGGUGGGCUGGUCUCGAGUUCUUGACCUCAGGUGAUCUGCCCUCCUCGGCCUCCCAAAGUGUUGGGAUGACAGGCAUGAGCCACCACACCCGGCCUAUUCAGUGAAGUUUUUAAAGAAAAAUAAGUUAGUUAGAUGGUAGGUAUCAUGCAUCAGGUGUAUCUUGUAUAACGUGAUACUGUAUAUUAUGCUUUUAGAAAAGGGAAACGUAGAUAGCAUUUCUCAUAAAUACUUAAAGAAUUUUAAGAUGUCAGUAUUAAUUAUGUUUUGUCUUUUUCUUAAAUUGUUUGGAAAGCUUGUUUAUGUUCUGUAAUUUUUUUCAAAACUUCCUUGGUUCUUGAUGUAAGCAUGGGUAGACAGAUGGUCCAACAUGUGGCACCUGUGGAGAAUAGAGCUGGUAGUUGCUCACUAGCUCUCCAUUUUUUAUUUUUUAUACUGAAUUUUGAUUUUUUUGAGAUCCCUAGAUUAAUAAUAUAAGCACUUCUAAUAAAGAGAAGAAGAUGACAAGGAUGCCUACUAUUACCAUUGCUACUUAAUUUCAUAGUAGAAGUACCAGCAAAUGCAGUUAUGGAAGAGAAAAUUAUAAAGAUUAGAAGGAAAUAAAAUUAUCACUGGCAAAUGAUUGCAUUGUAUUCAGGGAUUCAACUGAGAACACAAUAGGAUUCAGUAAGAUAGUGGGAGGUGAAAAACAUAGAAAUAAAUAACAUGUUAAAUGUAUAUAUGUGUAUAUUGUAACACACAUAUUUGCUGAACAAGGAAGAACUAAAAAGUUGAAGGAGUAAGUCUAGAAAAGGAUGACCUUGUUGAAUUUUUCAGGAAAACUCCUGAUCUUACUGCUGCCCAAUAAUGAUUGUUUAUAAUUUAUGGCUAAUAAUAUUCUGAAGUUGAUCAUCUUUGUAAAUCCUUGUCAGUAUUCUGGAUUUUAAAAAAAUUAAAAUAAAUUAGAAGAAAUGGAAUCAUCAGGUCAAAGAGAGAGAGUUUA